AUGAACGCUGGCGGCGUGCCUAAUACAUGCAAGUCGCGCGAACAGACGAGGAGCUUGCUCCUCUGACGUUAGCGGCGGACGGGUGAGUAACACGUGGAUAACCUACCUAUAAGACUGGGAUAACUUCGGGAAACCGGAGCUAAUACCGGAUAAUAUAUUGCACCGCAUGGUUCAAUAGUGAAAGACGGUUUUGCUGUCACUUAUAGAUGGAUCCGCGCCGCAUUAGCUAGUUGGUAAGGUAACGGCUUACCAAGGCAACGAUGCGUAGCCGACCUGAGAGGGUGAUCGGCCACACUGGAACUGAGACACGGUCCAGACUCCUACGGGAGGCAGCAGUAGGGAAUCUUCCGCAAUGGGCGAAAGCUUGACGGAGCAACGCCGCGUGAGUGAUGAAGGUCUUCGGAUCGUAAAACUCUGUUAUUAGGGAAGAACAAAUGUGUAAGUAACUAUGCACGUCUUGACGGUACCUAAUCAGAAAGCCACGGCUAACUACGUG
rnacentral:rRNA from 1 species